GCAAGUCGAGCGCACCUUCGGGUGAGCGGCGGACGGGUUAGUAACGCGUGGGAACGUACCCUUUUCUACGGAAUAGCCUUUGGAAACGGUGAGUAAUACCUUAUACGCCCUUCGGGGGAAAGAUUUAUCGGUGAAGGAUUGGCCCGCGUUAGAUUAGAUAGUUGGUGGGGUAAUGGCCUACCAAGUCUACGAUCUAUAGCUGGUUUGAGAGGAUGAUC
rnacentral:rRNA from 1 species